rnacentral:rRNA from 1 species
GACGAACGCUGGCGGCGUGCCUAAUACAUGCAAGUCGAACGAGAGCGACCGGUGCUUGCACUGGUCAAUCUAGUGGCGAACGGGUGAGUAACACGUGGGUAACCUGCCCAUCAGAGGGGGAUAACAUCCGGAAACGGAUGCUAAAACCGCAUAGGUCUUCGAGCCGCAUGGCUUGAAGAGGAAAAGAGGCGCAAGCUUCUGCUGAUGGAUGGACCCGCGGUGCAUUAGCUAGUUGGUGAGGUAACGGCUCACCAAGGCCGUGAUGCAUAGCCGACCUGAGAGGGUGAUCGGCCACAUUGGGACUGAGACACGGCCCAAACUCCUACGGGAGGCAGCAGUAGGGAAUCUUCCGCAAUGGACGCAAGUCUGACGGAGCAACGCCGCGUGAGUGAAGAAGGUUUUCGGACCGUAAAACUCUGUUGUUAGAGAAGAACAAGUGCUAGAGUAACUGUUAGCGCCUUGACGGUAUCUAACCAGAAAGCCACGGCUAACUACGUG